GUGAUGUACUGAACAAGACUUGUUACUCGCAUCAAUGCCUCUGUCUCGUCAUUUAACGUUCAAACAGCCACCUCCCACCACCGAGCCAUGCAAAGACCAGAUGACCACUGGUCCCAUUUCCCAGAGGUCCUCAACAUCCUCACUCAGGUCAUUGCUGGUUGGAGAACUACACCCCGUCCAGAAUCUCGAUAGGACAAGGAAGGUGAUUGAAAAGAAGACGGAUAACAUUUACUAAAGAGAUCGAUGUUAAGAUAGGAACGGUCUUUGGAAGCAAUAGCAGGCCAUUCAGCUGAACUACAGACGGUUGUCAAGCGUGUGGAUGAGGCAGGAGGAAGAAUUGCUACUGUGGAAACUUCAACUAGAUCAAUAAAUAAAGGCACUUGAGAAACAGGUGCGCGAAAUUGCGGAGCACAUUGACGACUUGGAUAAUCGAGGACGCAGAUGCAAUAUCCGUGUUGUGGGACUCCCGGAAAAGGACACGUUCAGUAUACAUUUUCGUGGAAUGGAUCCCUGGCUACCUACAAAUUGAUACUAAAGCUGAUCGUGUGAAGCUGGACAGAGCCCAUCGCUCUCAAGAACCGAUACACGGCCACAACCAGCGCCCACGGCCAGUGGUUAUAGAGUUCCACAACUUCACCCACAAGCAGCGCGUCCUGGAUGCGGCCAGACGCAUCGGUUCUGACUGUAGUCAAGGUCCAAGGGUCUCAUUCUUCAAUGAUUAUCCCACAGCGGUUGUACGAAGACGCAUGUCGUUUGAUGAGGUGAAGGCUCGACUCAAGAUAAUGAAUAUGGACUACGCACGGAUGUACCCAGCCACAUUGAAGAUUAUGGUCAACGGAUCGCCUAAAAAAACUUUACACACCAGAAGAGGCUGCUGCGUUGAUUGACUCUCUCAGGAAUGGAUGACAUCAAGGACCACCUGGAAGAACCCUUGCUGCAGCUAGGUGAUGGCACCAGUUCAUCAGAUGAGGAUUUCUUCUCUGCAUUGAAAACGUCUCAAGCACAGGAAAGCUCCACGGAUACCAGCUGGACGGAUACCUGGCCUGUUCAGCUGAUCGUAUGGAGUUGCUCAAGUCUUUCCCGGCAGUCUGUAAGCUGUCUCUGAGGUUAAACACACCCAUACCUGCAUCAGCUUCCUGUGGAAGGCUGUUCAGCAUUGCAGGACUUGUUUUCAGCCCCCGGAGAGCAAGGCUGUAUUCCAGAAACUUUGAAAACUAGCUUUCACUGAAGAUGAACCAUAAAUUCUUCAACUUCAAGUAAUGACAGCUUAACGCUAGCAAGCCCAAGGACACGGAUGCCUUAUGCAUUUUUGUUAACUUGUGAAAUUUAAACCUAAAUUAUAGGUGUCCUUGUUACAAAGUUAUGACCUGACACUGAUUUCUAAUACAGUUCCAUCAGUGGUGAUGUCCUCAUAUUCCUACAGUGAAGUUGUGUGUACUUUUGAUGAGCUGUUCUAAAGCAAUGUAAGUGCUUACGUGUACUGGCUAUAUUCCUUAAUUAUUAAGGCAUAAUUCUGUUUUGUCUGUAAGAGAUGUAUUUUGAAGUGUUGCCUAUUUGACAAUCCACUUUUUUUUUUUACGGAGCUCUAAAUAAAAGGUCUGGUUGUUUUGCUUUUUAGAUUUACGGCUCUUACAUUUCAUACUUUUACUUUUGAUACUUAUGUACAUCCACCACUGCUUAAUAUAAGGAAUUGAAUGUAUAACUUUUACUUUGUACUUUUACUCAAGUAUGAUAAUUGUUACUUUUUACACCACUGUACUUAAGUACAUUUAAAACCAGAUACUUUUUGACUUAUACUCAAGUAGUAUUUUACUUGGUGACUUGGUCACUUUUACUUGAGUAAUUUUCUAUUAAGGUAUCUUUAUGUUUUACUCAAGACAAUUGAGUACGUUUUCCACCCCUGCCAGCAACAAGGCACACUUGUUGGGUCAGCACAAUAUGCAGUUUAGCCUUGGCUUUAGAGGAAGCAGACCUGUGCUGGGUUAAAAAAUUUUUUUAAAUAAUGUUUUAUUCAAAAUGCAGAUCAACAAUUUACAUUCUUACAACAUACAAAACAGAUGCAGGUAUUAACGAGAAAAUACUGAAACAAAUAAACAAUUCUUAGUGCAAUUGUAAUCACUCUGAAAAAAAAUGUUAUUGUAAUGAUUUAGGAAAAGGUUAUUUUGUUAUUGACCAAAUACUUAUUUUCCAUAAUUUGCAAAUAAAUUAAUUGAAAAUCCUA